GUUCCAGCUGGUCCUAAACUCCCGACCUCAGGGGCCACUGUAGCUUCUUGUGUUGCAUGGCAACUAUCAACAAAAAGGUAUAAACAAAAGCAUAUUGCAUUGCUUUGGCAGGUAAGAUGGUCUUCCCUCCUAGGUCUAUUUCUGAUUCACUUUGGGGUGAAUUGGUUAUGAAUUGGGUGGGUAGGCAGAAUUUCUGCUAAAAAUCAUUUCCAAAUUGAAUGACUGUCUUAGGCUAUUUGGUUGUCUUCAUGUGUGAAGAAUCAUUAUCUAAAGGCUAUCAUGGGAAGA
rnacentral:lncRNA from 1 species